NGACCUCAAAUCAGGUAGGACUACCCGCUGAACUUAAGCA
rnacentral:rRNA from 1 species